rnacentral:rRNA from 1 species
GUGGGGAAUCUUGCGCAAUGGGCGAAAGCCUGACGCAGCCAUGCCGCGUGAAUGAUGAAGGUCUUAGGAUUGUAAAAUUCUUUCACCGGGGACGAUAAUGACGGUACCCGGAGAAGAAGCUCCGGCUAACUUCGUGCCAGCAGCCGCGGUAAUACGAAGGGGGCUAGCGUUGCUCAGAAUUACUGGGCGUAAAGGGCGCGUAGGCGGACAGCUUAGUCAGAGGUGAAAGCCCAGGGCUCAACCUUGGAAUUGCCUUUGAUACUGGCUGUCUUGAGUUUGGGAGAGGUGAGUGGAACUCCGAGUGUAGAGGUGAAAUUCGUAGAUAUUCGGAAGAACACCAGUGGCGAAGGCGACUCACUGGCCCAAUACUGACGCUGAGGCGCGAAAGCGUGGGGAGCAAACAGGAUUAGAUACCCCUGUAGUCC